rnacentral:rRNA from 7 species
CUUUAUUGGAGAGUUUGAUCCUGGCUCAGGAUGAACGCUGGCGGCGUGCCUAAUACAUGCAAGUCGAGCGAAUGGAUUGAGAGCUUGCUCUCAAGAAGUUAGCGGCGGACGGG